AUGGCGGCGGCCACUCGGUCCCUCUUCCUGACAUGCUUCCACAGCAGCGGCUCCGAUGAGAGCGGCCACCUCACGCUGCGGCCGCGGUACCCGUCCAUGCCGCGGCAACCGAGGGCGGCCGCGGUCGCCGGCGAGGGCGGUGGAGGAGAAGGCGGGUCAGCCGUGGUCGAUCUGGAGGCAGCGGAGGAGGAAGAGGAGAAGGUGGCGGUGUUCGCGGUGUCCGGGAUGACGUGCGCCGCGUGCGCCGGCUCGGUUGAGAAGGCCGUCAAGCGGCUCCCCGGCAUCCAUGAGGCCGCCGUCGACGUCCUCGGCGGCCGCGUGCAGGUCGCCUUCUACACGGCACUCGUCUCGAUCGAUUGGUUCGAGUAG
rnacentral:rRNA from 1 species